rnacentral:rRNA from 1 species
GCCUAACACAUGCAAGUCGAACGGGGUUGAUCGGGCUUGCUCGAUCAACCUAGUGGCGGACGGCUGAGUAACGCGUAGGUGACCUGCCCGGAAGUGGGGAAUAACUGCCCGAAAGGGUGGCUAAUACCGCAUGUGGUCGGCGAUUCGUUUCGCCGUCCAAAGGAGCAAUCCGCUUCCGGAGGGGCCUGCGUCCGAUUAGCUAGUUGGUGGGGUAACGGCUCACCAAGGCGACGAUCGGUAGCUGGUCUGAGAGGAUGAUCAGCCAGACUGGGACUGAGACACGGCCCAGACUCCUACGGGAGGCAGCAGUCGGGAAUUUUGCCCAAUGAGCGAAAGCUUGAGGCAGCAACUCCGCGUGAGGGACGAAGGCCUUCGGGUUGUAAACCUCUUUUCUCAGGGAAGAUACAAGACGGUACCUGAGGAAUAAGCCACGGCUAACUACGUGCCAGCAGCCGCGGUAAU